rnacentral:ncRNA from 1 species
CGUUCCGGGAUUGCGGAAACGGUCUACUACAAUUUCCUAUUAUGCGGAGGAAGAGAAAAUACUAGAAAUCCCCUUACUAGCGGUGAGCAAAACGGGACCUAUCCCAGCUCCGAAUCCCUCGUCCUUGCCGGCGAUCGGGAAAUGUGGGGUAUGGGAUGUAACGUUCCGGAGAGUUUUGCUGUGGUGCAAGUGCCCCUGACAGGGGCUUGACCCAGAGUGGGAGCCAGGCCCGUCUCCGCCACUGCUCUCUCGGAAUGGAACCUCCCGUGAGUCGGGGUGCUUGAGAGCGCGGCCUUAAUUGGGUGGUAAACUCCAUCUAAGGCUAAAUACGUCGGAGAAACCGAUAGUUCAAAAAUACCUAGGGGAAACGUCUAAAAGAACUUUGAAGAGAGAGUUCAAGAGUACGUAAAACCGCUUAGAGUAAAAUGGGUAAGCCCUCAAAACUCGAGGGCGGAGAGAUUCAGUCUCGGUGUGACGUGAGCGGUGUCAGCGUCUUCCUUUACGAGCUCUCCUUCUGGGGGCCCGUUCCGCUGCCCGCGCGGUACGGCGCACUCUGGAACGCAUUUUCUAC